rnacentral:rRNA from 1 species
GUAGGUGGCAAGCGUUGUCCGGAAUUAUUGGGCGUAAAGCGCGCGCAGGCGGUUCUUUAAGUCUGAUGUGAAAGCCCACGGCUCAACCGUGGAGGGUCAUUGGAAACUGAGGAACUUGAGUACAGAAGAGGAAAGCGGAAUUCCACGUGUAGCGGUGAAAUGCGUAGAGAUGUGGAGGAACACCAGUGGCGAAGGCGGCUUUCUGGUCUGUAACUGACGCUGAGGCGCGAAAGCGUGGGGAGCAAACAGGGAUUAGAUACCCUGGUAGUCCACGCCGUAAACGAUGAGUGCUAAGUGUUAGGGGGUUUCCGCCCCCUUAGUGCUGCAGCUAACGCAUUAAGCACUCCGCCUGGGGAUACGGCCGCAAGGCUG